rnacentral:lncRNA from 1 species
AUCAAUCUCAAUAUGCUUAGUUUUUUCAUGAAACACGGGAUUAAAAGCAAUAUAAAGAGCAACUUGAUUGUCACACCACAACUUUGCUGGUAUUGGAGCCUUAAGACCAACUUCAGUUAAAAGCUGAUAUAUCCACAUUAUCUCAUAUACAGACUAUGUCGUAGCUCUAUAUUAUGAUUCUGCAUUGGAUCGGGAGAACAUUUUGCUUUUUAUUUUUCCAUGAGACCAAAUUUCUUCCAACAAAAACACAGUAGCUAGUAGUGGAUCUUCAGUCAAUCUUGGAACCUGCUGAAUCUGCAUCUGAAAAACAUUCGAUGUAUGUCCAUGAUUUUUGUACAGCAUUCCAUGUCCAGGAGCUCCCUUUAAAUGGCACAAGAUCUAUUCUAAAGCUGCCCAAUCGUGAAUUGUUGGGAAAGACAUAAAUUGACUUACAACACUACAGGAUACGUAUAUCAAGACGGGUUACUGUAAGAUAAUUAAAUUCCAACCAGUCUUCUAUACUUCUCAGGAUCUUCAAAUAAGUCACCAUCUUUGGUAAGUUGCAAAUUAGGAAGCAUUGGAGUGCUGCUUGACUUAGCUCCCAACUUUCCUGUCUCAAUUAAUAAGUUAAGCACAUAUUUUCUUUGAAAUAAGAAGAUGCCUUCUUGCUUCUUGUCACCUCGACUCCCAAGAAAUGCUUCUACACUCCUAAAUCUUUCAUGUGAAAUUGGGCGUGAAGAAAGGACUUUAGAGAUAAAAUUCCCAUAUUAUCAGUGCCAGUUAUAACAAUAUCAUCAACAUAUAUAACAAGAAGAAGAAUAUCAAAUUUGGACUGUUUGUAGAAGACUGAGUGGUCAGACUUGCUCUUUUGCAUUUCAAACUUUUUCACUGCCUGAUUAAAUUUUCCAAACCAAGCACGUGGACUUUGUUCCAAACCAUAUAAUGACUUUCGAAAAUGACGCACUUUCCCAUACUCACCCUGACACCCAUUUACAUCCAAUAGCUUUUUUUCCUGUAAGUAAAUUUUACUAGAUCCCAAGUACCAAUAGCAUUUAAAGCGUUAAUUUCUUCUAUAAUAGUAUCACACCAAUCAGUAUGGGAUAGGGCUUCAUGAACAGUUUUCAAAAGAGUCACAGAGUAUAUGGAAGUAACAAAAGAACAAGAAGAAAAGGACAAGCAAUUAUGAAAAACAAAGGAUGAAAUAAGAUACGUGCACUGAUGUUUACCUUUGCGAAGAGCAAUAUGUAGAUUAAGAUCAUUGGACACUAGAUCUGAUGCCGAAGAAGAGUUAGGUGUUGAACAUGCAUCAGAAGGGUUUUGUCGUCUAGAAUACACCUGGUGUAUAGGUGGUGGUGUGGGACAGUAGGUGUAGAAGCAACAUUAGUUGACUGGUAAGUGACAUGAUAAACCAGCAAAUCAUCAUCCUCCCCUUUACUGAAAGAAGUAUAAGAAGUAGGAAAGAAAUGAACAUGUUCCAAAAAGGUAACAUUGGCUGACACAAUAUACUUGUUAAGACACGAACAGUAGCAUCGGUACCCUUUUUGUAGAUGAGAAUAGCCCAAAAAAAUACAUUUUAAGGAUUUGGGAUCUAAUUUAGUUACAUGGAAACGAACAUCAUGAACAUUAACAAGUGCUACCAAAAAUUCUAAGUUCAAUAGAAAACAAAAGUUUAGUAGGAAAAGAGCACUAUAAGAAGUCUUACCAUGAAGAACGGAUGAAGGAAUUCAAUUAAUCAAGAAAUAGGCUAUGGAGACUGCAUCAACCCAAAAUUAUUUAGGAACAUGUAUUUGAAAUAGAAGUGUCCUGGCUGUCUCAAGAAGAUGUCCAUUUUUUUGUUCAGCCACGCCAUUUUGAGAGGGUGUGUCAACAUACAAGAAUUGAUAAAGAAUACUAUUUUGAAGCAUGUAAGUCUGGAAAGAAUCGAAAAAAUAUUCUUUGGCAUUAUCACUUCUCAGUGUAUGUACUGAAAUAUUAAGCUGUGUUUUAAUUUCAGCACAAAAGGCACUAAAAUGAUAAAAUAAUUUCGAUCGAUUCUUCAUUAAAUAAAAUCAAGUCACACAAGAAAAAUCAUCAACGAAGAUAACAAAAUACCGAAAUCCAAUUUUAGAUACAAGACAAAAACCUAAAACAUCUUAAUGGACCAACUUGAAACCCAAAACAUCUGAAUGGACAACUCAAAAGGAAAAUUAGUUUUUUUAUUGACUUGAGUACCUAAGGACAGACGAUGAUAUUUCGCAUAUGACUCACAAUUUAAAGACGAUAAAUUCUGAAACUGAGGACAUAAUUUCUUUAACAAAAAUAAAGAUGGAUGUCCCAACUGACAAUGUGUUUCAAAAGGAGUUAAGAUACUGAACACGCAAUGGACUUGGGUACCUAGGUAUUCAGAAUAUAGAAACCGCCAGGUUCAUGUCAUUUACCAAUAAUCUUCUUCAUCACAAGAUCCUGAAAAAGACAGUAAUCAGGAAAAAAUGAGACAUAACAGUUUAAGGUUCGAGUAAGUUUGCUCACAGAUAUUAAAUCAAAAGAAAAUUGUGGUAGACUUAAGAUAGAGAAUAAGGAAAUUAAUGGAGUUGGAUUAAUAGUGUCAGAACUGAGAAC